rnacentral:misc_RNA from 1 species
GAAAGUCACAUGUUGUCAUGAAAUUAUGGGGUUUAUUAGCAAAUAUUUAUAAUUACUUAUUGUCUAACUAUUUAUGCUGUAAAAAAAUGAUCCAAAAAGUAAUUUGCAGAAAAUGUAUUCUAGUCCAACAUUGAAAAUUAAUUUUUAUGUGAACACUUUGAACACUUGUUUCAAGUUUGCAGUACAAUGAGGACACUUAAUUGUUUCUUCUCGGUGGUUUUUUUUUUACCGGUUACAUUAACUGAUUUAUAUUGUUUUUGAAGUCUUAUUAUUUUUCAUGAGAUAAGUAUAUAUAUAUAUAAUUGUUUCUAUGCAUGCAUAUUGACUGUGUAUUGCACAUUGUAUACUUGUACAUUUUAUAUAGAACUGCUCUAUGCAAAAAAAACCCUAAAUCUCCAAUACAACCCCCCCCCCCCCAAAUAAAAUUAGCAUGUGAUUUGGGGUAUAUAAGUUAGGUUUUUGAUCCAAGUCUCAAUCCUCAAAUAUGGAAUAUAAUAUAUAGUGAAAAAUCAGACUUGAACCAAAGUCAGGUCAUCCAAAAUUUUUAAGCCUCGGGACCUUGUUUUGUACAAUUUUAUAGAUUGUUCUACUUUUCGAAGCAGCUACAUGUAUGAUGAACCACAACUCCAAACAAUGAUUUGUGAUUUCAUUAAAAUUUUAUUAAUGUGUAAGGUGCAAUAUACAAAAUGAAAAUAAAAUGUAAAUUAAUAUU